rnacentral:rRNA from 1 species
CUACGGGAUGCAGCAGUGAGGAAUAUUGCACCAUGGGGGGAACCCUGAUGCAGCAACGCCGCGUGGAGGGUGACGCAUUUCGGUGUGUAAACUCCUUUUAUAUGUCAAGAAAAUGACGGUAGCAUAUGAAUAAGCACCGGCUAACUCCGUGCCAGCAGCCGCGGUAAUACGGAGGGUGCAAGCGUUACUCGGAAUCACUGGGCGUAAAGGACGCGUAGGCGGGUUGGAAAGUCAGGUGUGAAAUCCUACAGCUUAACUGUAGAACUGCACUUGAAACUUCUAAUCUAGAGUAUGGGAGGGGGAGAUGGAAUUAGUGGUGUAGGGGUAAAAUCCGUAGAUAUCACUAGGAAUACCUAAAGCGAAGGCGAUCUCCUGGAACAUUACUGACGCUAAGGCGUGAAAGCGUGGGGAGCAAACAGGAUUAGAUACCCCGGUAGUC